rnacentral:rRNA from 1 species
GAUGAACGCUGGCGGCGUGCUUAAUACAUGCAAGUCGAACGGAGAGUUUUGUAGUAAUACGAAGCUUCUCAGUGGCGAACGGGCGAGUAACGAGUUGGUGACCUGCCCCGAAGUGUGGGAUAACAGUCCGAAAGGAUUGCUAAUACCGCAUGUGAUCAUCGGUUUUAGAAUCUGAUGAUUAAAGCAGUAAUGCGCUUCGGGAGGGACCUGCUUCCCAUCAGCUAGUUGGUGAGGUAAUGGCCCACCAAGGCUACGACGGGUAAGGGACCUGAGAGGGUGGUCCCUCGCAAUGGCACUGAAACACGGGCCAUACACCUACGGGAGGCUG